ensembl:lncRNA
AGUCAUAAUGAAUAGGGGGAAACUAUUUCUUCUUCUUUUUCCUUCUUAUUUGUCUUUGAUCACAUGCCAGAAUGAAAGUCACUAGGGUCUGUUGUUGUUUUGGGCCCCAUGGCUUUUCAUUAUUUCUGCAAAACAUAUUUCAAAAUAUCUCCUUCUGUGUUUCACAGAAGAAAGUAUGUCAUGCAGGUUUGGAAGGACGAGAGAAUGUUCAUCUUUGGUUGAACUUUCCCUUUCCGUUCUGUGAUUGUGAAAUGUAUUCUACAUGUAGCCAGAUUGUUCAAGCCUUCUUGACUCUCAGCUCAGAUUUCUACAGACUAUCUUCAGACUCAGGUUUCUCCAUUUACAGUGUUUUCACAAUGUUCUGACGAUGUCUGCUCAUUCGGUAGUGCACAAUAGGCUGUCUGUUCUCUACUAGGUACCCCACCGAGAUCGGUGACACAGAGAAUUCGUCUCUCAGAUAAUUGUCUCUUUUUCUGGCCUUGUAUUUCAAUUCACUUUUACACUGAUUUUGUUUUUAUCAGUUUGGAAACGUAUUUAAGUGACUGAAACAGCGCGAGGACUCCGUUGAACUGCUGACAUCGCAGGCAUCUUUUCAGCAUCUUUUAAUGUAUUUGAUCAGAUAAAAUCAAGUUGUUGUUUUUUUCUGACAGAAUUCAUACACCAGACAUCCACAUUCCAUUUAAUAUGGUUUGAUGUCUCGGUGACAUUCAGUCUUCAAUCUGGUAUUUCUCAUCUGACAGGUGAUAAUUUGCUUCCUGGCUUCAUACACCAAGGGUUCAUAUCACUAUCGCAUCGGCACAUUUUAUUUUUGUCUUCCUUUUUUUUUCCAGCGUGCAUUUCUGUACGAGGGAUACAAAUAAACAAUUUUAGUUUUUGUGUUUCAUCAUCAUGUAAUAUAAGAAAAAAGAUGGAAGUGAUCUUUUGAAUGGACAUGAUUAAAUGUUUUUACUAUAUACUUUUAUACAUUAUUUUCUUAUCAGACUAGUUAAUGAGUAUUUUUAUAUGUUUGUAAGUGAAAACGCUCUCGCGGCGCAACUGUGUGUAUAUGUAAAGAGGAGUAUUUAAUUAUCUCGGUUUGUUUUUAACUGAAAAAGGCCAAUGUAUGUUGAACUGUGGUCCUUUCGGUGGACUGAAGCCGAUAACCCAUCCUAACAGUUGUCCACCUCAUAGCCUAUAACAACUUUAUCAGUGAUCACUGGGCCAAUGCUUCGAGCUGAUGCCCUUUUGUGAUGACUCAGGUUCAUAUCCUAACCUAAACAUUGUCCGUUACACCAGUUAAUAGCAACAUGGAUCAAAUCCAAAGCUAGUAAGAACAGAAGUGCAUGGCUCUUCUUCUUCCCAGAGUCUGUGUACACCUAAUACAUACUGUGUUUUAUUUGUCACAUCUUUCCCUCCCACUGUAUAGCCUCUGGUGCUAUAAUAAAAUUUAUGAUUUAUCUGUGAUACAUUUGCUUUUCCUUAAUGAGGAAACAGGGUACAACAGGGCAUUGAAUAACAAGUGUCACCAAGAGACAAGUAGAUUGUUAUUUUGCUGUCCUUAAGUAUAUUCCCUGUGAUUCGCAAAACUUCCAUUUUAUUCUUGGACGGUGUUCUAGCCGAUAUGGUAAUGAGCUGUGUGACAACUUAUGUCAUAAGCUUGGUUUUAUUGUUAUUGAGUCUGCUGUGUGUUCUUUCAUGAGAUUUAAAAGUGUUAGGUAACAUUGUGAAGGAGGAGGGUGUCAUAUUAUUUUGGAGAAUACUCCGAAUUAAGAGGACUGGCUUCAGAAAAGCUGUUGUUUGCUCAUGUUGUGACAGUUCUACAAUUAAU